CAUGCAAGUCGAGGGGAAACGACAUCGAAAGCUUGCUUUUGAUGGGCGUCGACCGGCGCACGGGUGAGUAACGCGUAUCCAACCUGCCCACCACUUGGGGAUAACCUUGCGAAAGUAAGACUAAUACCCAAUGAUAUCUCUAGAAGACAUCUGAAAGAGAUUAAAGAUUUAUCGGUGAUGGAUGGGGAUGCGUCUGAUUAGCUUGUUGGCGGGGUAACGGCCCACCAAGGCGACGAUCAGUAGGGGUUCUGAGAGGAAGGUCCCCCACAUUGGAACUGAGACACGGUCCAAACUCCUACGGGAGGCAGCAGUGAGGAAUAUUGGUCAAUGGACGAGAGUCUGAACCAGCCAAGUAGCGUGCAGGAAGACGGCCCUAUGGGUUGUAAACUGCUUUUAUAAGGGAAUAAAGUGAGUCUCGUGAGACUUUUUGCAUGUACCUUAUGAAUAAGGACCGGCUAAUUCCGUGCCAGCAGCCGCGGUAAUACGGAAGGUCCGGGCGUUAUCCGGAUUUAUUGGGUUUAAAGGGAGCGUAGGCCGGAGAUUAAGCGUGUUGUGAAAUGUA
rnacentral:rRNA from 1 species